rnacentral:rRNA from 1 species
ACGCUCGACACCUACGGAGGCAGCAGUGGGGAAUAUUGCACAAUGGGGGAAACCCUGAUGCAGCGACGCCGCGUGAGUGAAGAAGUAUUUCGGUAUGUAAAGCUCUAUCAGCAGGGAAGAAAAUGACGGUACCUGACUAAGAAGCCCCGGCUAACUACGUGCCUGCAGCCGCGGUAAUCUGAGCGGGCUGGCAAGGC